rnacentral:rRNA from 1 species
AGACCCGAAACCCGGUGAUCUAGCCAUGGGCAGGUUGAAGGUUGGGUAACACUAACUGGAGGACCGAACCGACUAAUGUUGAAAAAUUAGCGGAUGACCUGUGGCUGGGGGUGAAAGGCCAAUCAAACCGGGAGAUAGCUGGUUCUCCCCGAAAGCUAUUUAGGUAGCGCCUCGUGAAUUCAUCUCCGGGGGUAGAGCACUGUUUCGGCUAGGGGGCCAUCCCGGCUUACCAACCCGAUGCAAACUGCGAAUACCGGAGAAUGUUAUCACGGGAGACACACGGCGGGUGCUAACGUCCGUCGUGAAGAGGGAAACAACCCAGACCGCCAGCUAAGGUCCCAAAGUCAUGGUUAAGUGGGAAACGAUGUGGGAAGGCCCAGACAGCCAGGAUGUUGGCUUAGAAGCAGCCAUCAUUUAAAGAAAGCGUAAUAGCUCACUGGUCGAGUCGGCCUGCGCGGAAGAUGUAACGGGGCUAAACCAUGCACCGAAGCUGCGGCAGCGACACUCAGGUGUUGUUGGGUAGGGGAGCGUUCUGUAAGCCUGUGAAGGUGGCCUGUGAGGGUUGCUGGAGGUAUCAGAAGUGCGAAUGCUGACAUAAGUAACGAUAAAGCGGGUGAAAAGCCCGCUCGCCGGAAGACCAAGGGUUCCUGUCCAACGUUAAUCGGGGCAGGGUGAGUCGACCCCUAAGGCGAGGCCGAAAGGCGUAGUCGAUGGGAAACGGGUUAAUAUUCCCGUACUUGGUGUUACU